rnacentral:rRNA from 1 species
GAGUUUGAUCGUGGCUCAGAUUGAACGCUGGCGGCAGGCCUAACACAUGCAAGUCGAGCGGAUGACGGGAGCUUGCUCCUUGAUUCAGCGGCGGACGGGUGAGUAAUGCCUAGGAAUCUGCCUGGUAGUGGGGGACAACGUUUCGAAAGGAACGCUAAUACCGCAUACGUCCUACGGGAGAAAGCAGGGGACCUUCGGGCCUUGCGCUAUCAGAUGAGCCUAGGUCGGAUUAGCUAGUUGGUGGGGUAGUGGCUCACCAAGGCGACGAUCCGUAACUGGUCUGAGAGGAUGAUCAGUCACACUGGAACUGAGACACGGUCCAGACUCCUACGGGAGGCAGCAGUGGGGAAUAUUGGACAAUGGGCGAAAGCCUGAUCCAGCCAUGCCGCGUGUGUGAAGAAGGUCUUCGGAUUGUAAAGCACUUUAAGUUGGGAGGAAGGGCAGUAAGUUAAUACCUUGCUGUUUUGACGUUUACCGACAGAAUAAGCACCGGCUAACUCUGUGACAGCCGCCG